CAUCCCAGUUCGGAUUGCAGGCUGCAACCCGCCUGUAUGAAGUUGGAAUCGCUAGUAAUCGCGGAUCAGCAUGCCGCGGUGAAUACGUUCCCGGGCCUUGUACACACCGCCCGUCACACCAUGAGAGUCGGGAACACCCGAAGUCCGUAGCCUAACCGCAAGGGGGCGCGGCCGAAGGUGGGUUCGAUAAUUGGGGUGAAGUCGUAACAAGGUACC
rnacentral:rRNA from 1 species